rnacentral:rRNA from 1 species
GACGAACGCUGGCGGCGUGCCUAAUACAUGCAAGUUGAGCGCUGAAGGUUGGUACUUGUACCAACUGGAUGAGCAGCGAACGGGUGAGUAACGCGUGGGGAAUCUGCCUUUGAGCGGGGGACAACAUUUGGAAACGAAUGCUAAUACCGCAUAAAAACUUUAAACACAAGUUUUAAGUUUGAAAGAUGCAAUUACAUCACUCAAAGAUGACCCCGCGUUGUAUUAGCUAGUUGGUGAGGUAAAGGCUCACCAAGGCGAUGAUACAUAGCCGACCUGAGAGGGUGAUCGGCCACAUUGGGACUGAGACACGGCCCAAACUCCUACGGGAGGCAGCAGUAGGGAAUCUUCGGCAAUGGACGAAAGUCUGACCGAGCAACGCCGCGUGAGUGAAGAAGGUUUUCGGAUCGUAAAACUCUGUUGGUAGAGAAGAACGUUGGUGAGAGUGGAAAGCUCAUCAAGUGACGGUAACUACCCAGAAAGGGACGGCUAACUACGUG